rnacentral:rRNA from 1 species
AUUGAACGCUGGCGGCAUGCCUUACACAUGCAAGUCGAACGGCAGCACGGGAGCAAUCCUGGUGGCGAGUGGCGAACGGGUGAGUAAUAUAUCGGAACGUGCCCAGUCGUGGGGGAUAACGUAGCGAAAGCUACGCUAAUACCGCAUACGAUCUAUGGAUGAAAGCGGGGGAUCGCAAGACCUCGCGCGAUUGGAGCGGCCGAUAUCAGAUUAGGUAGUUGGUGAGGUAAAGGCUCACCAAGCCGACGAUCUGUAGCUGGUCUGAGAGGACGACCAGCCACACUGGGACUGAGACACGGCCCAGACUCCUACGGGAGGCAGCAGUGGGGAAUUUUGGACAAUGGGCGCAAGCCUGAUCCAGCAAUGCCGCGUGCAGGA